rnacentral:rRNA from 1 species
UACGUAGGUGGCAAGCGUUGUCCGGAAUUAUUGGGCGUAAAGCGCGCGCAGGCGGUCCUUUAAGUCUGAUGUGAAAGCCCACGGCUCAACCGUGGAGGGUCAUUGGAAACUGGGGGACUUGAGUGCAGGAGAGAAGAGUGGAAUUCCACGUGUAGCGGUGAAAUGCGUAGAGAUGUGGAGGAACACCAGUGGCGAAGGCGACUCUUUGGCCCGUAACUGACGCUGAGGAGCGAAAGCGUGGGGAGCGAACAGG